rnacentral:lncRNA from 1 species
AACCUGUUGGCCUCCUGGGGACGUCUGGAUCGGGGUUUGUCAGUUCCAUCCCCCAGCACCUCAGAUCCAACACCAAUGGAGCUAGGAGGUGCUGCUAUGAGGGGGACCGGAGGGGGGACCAUUCCCUGCACCACCUGUGGCCGCAGAGGACACACUGCUGGUCGGUGCUGGGGAGGUUCUCUAGGGAGUCGAGGCAGCAGGCAGGGCACUGGUGGAUCAUCCCAGGCCAGUGGUGGCUGGUCCGCUCCAGCAGUCUGAGGUGCGGGAGGUUCCUCCACCCCCUCUGGACAUCGACGGGGCCCCGGCAUAUACUGUGCGAGCCAUUAUGGUGGAAAGGGAGUUGGAUGACAGAAAGCAGCUGACAGACCAGGGCCCAUAGCAGUGCUGAUCUCAGAGUAGCAGUACUGAUUUAGGAUCAGUUUAGCCUUAUAGAUCACAAUGAAUAUGAUUACAAUGACAAGGGGGAGCUAGUCCUAGAUCGCUAUUCCUACUCUGAAGCAGCUUUGUGAAUACGGGCCCUGGAAGAAAGCUGUUGCCCAAUUCCUUGCACAGCAGUCGUUUCACCACAGGACCCUAGAGGUAUUACAGUCAAUGCUUAUGAACUGAGUAUAAGUGAAUUUCCAUAAAUCAAUGACACUUACAAAUAGGUAGAAUUGUUCAGCAACAUGUGCAGUAAAUGCUAACACGGCUUUGCAAAUGAAAGGUACAUAAUGUAUUUAUUGUCAUCUCCCUAUCAUGCUGUGACAUGGGCCUGGAUGAUGACAAAUGUUCUUCAAGCUGCUUGAUUGAAUACUGGGGCCUUCAGUGCUACUGGAAGCAAGUGCCUUACCAGGGAGCACAGCAACAGUCUCUCUCACAGCCAUUCUGUCAACAUGUAUUGAAUGUAACCACUCAAAUUUAUAUGAACGACUACUGGCGAAAGCACUGACUUAUAUUUACUUUGUCUAUUUGAACCAUCCUUCAAUCUUGACUGGGAUACAUAUUUUAGUUCACACACCUUUGUGAUGUGUCUGAUAAACAUGAAUAAAAAUGUUUUCACCCUUGCACUGAUUUUAGACCUUUUGAAUCAUAAGCUGUAAGUGCUGUAUCGAUUUUGAAAUUACCACAGAAAUACAAAAAAUGUAAUAAAAAAGUGAAGACCAACAUGCCAAA